rnacentral:rRNA from 1 species
UACGUAGGUGGCAAGCGUUGUCCGGAUUUAUUGGGUUUAAAGGGUGCGUAGGCGGCCCUGUAAGUCAGUGCUGAAAUAUCCCGGCUUAACCGGGAGGGUGGCAUUGAUACUGCGGGCUAGAGUGCAGAAGGGGCAACUGGAAUUCUCGGUGUAGCGGUGAAAUGCGUAGAUAUCGAGAGGAACACCUGCGGCGAAGGCGGGUUGCUGGGCUGACACUGACGCUGAUGCGCGAAAGCUAGGGGAGCGAACGGG